GCUCAGUCAGGGGACAGAGCGCAGCCUCAGCACCUCGGCCAGAAGGAAAACACUCGCUUACACACUGCGGAUGAAAGGCCGUCCCACGCUCUCUGCUCGUGUACGGACUUGCAGAAAAAAAAAACCUUCUGAGCACGGAUACAAACACACCAUUCAACAAGGAUAUCUCACCCACAGCCCGCCGCGGACAACCAGCCUCGACAGAUGGUGUGGGAUUUAUCGAUCUAGUCCACGCGCUCACCUGUUUGUCAAAGCGAGGCUGCACAAACUCAUGUGUCCUGCACAUCUGGAGCCUGGACGAUGCUACCGACCGGAUGUUUAAGUCUCCAUGGAUGCAGGAGGCACGAUGUGAAAGAAGCUUCAGACUUUCCUUUUGCUGUUACAGAAAACAACGGAGCCUGUUCCUGUCUUUGGUUAUCUAGCUGUAUGAGUGUUAAUCAUCCAUCAUAAAGCUAGAUAACCGAAAGUAGGAAUGACCUCCAAACCUUCAACUUGCUGCGUUAAUGAGAAUAAACAAAAAGAAAAACACAAGAGGACAUCACGUUAUUUCAGGACCAUAAUGAUGAUGAUGCCGUCAUGCAGUGGAGGAUCUUCAGAGCCAUUCCUGACCUGUCGCGUGACUGUGAUAUCAUGGGAGCGCCAUAACUUUUUAUACUCGUGUGGUGGUCACGACACUAGUUGCAGUCUUUCCUGAACAAAGGCAACUGAGGAAAGGCUCCCAACUUUGCUAUUUCUACGGACUAGAAGAAGAAGAAAAAGGUAAA